GAUGUAUCGACUAACUGCAAGUGGAAUCUUCCGUGCAACGGUCGUUCUGUAUUCAUUUGAAUAGUUUAUAUGGUAACUCGUAUACCGCGAUCGACCGUUGACAGAUCAAUUCGCACGUUGAAAAAGUACGUAGUGAAAAUGGUGUCCUUUGUGGUUCAGUCGUGUAAGAAAUUGAUGCAAAGAUCGUUCGAGCAGUUUUAACGACGCGCGUGGUGCUUCGAGAGAGAGUGGGAGAACCGAGUUCAAGCAACAGUCAGGGAACGUUCUCCCAUCGCGAUAACGUGUACCAGUCCGUGGUGUGAUCGAGUGGUUCUCGUAGUCGCGGGCGAUUCGUCAAGUACGCGGGCAGACACCCGGUAGACGAACACCUACCCACUUCCGGCGAAAAGGGUGAAAUGCGGAGAAAAAGUGGCGCAGCAUUGGGACUGAAAAAUAUGAGUUCAGCGGUGAAACAUGGAGAUGGAUCGGUGACGGUUUGAUGAUCAAUGGCAGCAGCCGAGAAUGGACACCUCUUCAAGAACAUUCCUAAAACUGUGGGAAGAUGUGCUGUUCAACUAAACUGGAAAACAUUUGGAACGUUCAAACAUCUGCAGAAACGAGAUGUAAUCGUGGGACGUCCAGCCGAGCACCGGUCUAUCCUCCACAAAAAUUUACGAAUAAAAGAAAUCCCUACACCCACUUAAAUCGCACGUACGUUCGCUCAUUUCUUUAAAAAGAAUUGUCGCAAAUUUGCCGCGAGGUCGAAAGCAUCUCCAACGCGAAGACUCCUGAAAGCAUAUCAAUCCGUUUCAAUUGAAACACUUGAAAUACGACUAACGUUUUAAAUCCAGCAAUCAGCAUACAUAAUUAAUAUUUGAGCGCGCGUUCGUACUCACCGUUUGAUGGAUAACUUUAGAAUUCCCUUUACAAAUUUAAUCGGUGCUUUAUUUUAACAUUUAUCGCCCGGACGAGAACAAAUUGGAUAAAUUCUUUAACAGGACACGAAAACGGUGAUUCGAAACUUGUCUCGUUACGUUAAUCUCAGUUUUAUCAACGAUGUCGUGUCCGUUUAAUAUCGAAGAUUCGCGUUACAUUCUGUGCAACAAGCUUUAAAUUUACGCGAGUAAAUCUAAGAAACACUUCGAUACGACAGAAAAUUGAAAUCUUCCAGCAGACUCAGGCUACAUGAUGGUGGAAGUUGAGGGUUAAGGGUGGCAAACGAAGGAAAUUGAGCGUCGAAAUUAGGCGCCCUUAGCGCCGUGUCGUCCUGAAUCGGAAUAGUUUCGCGGAUAAGUCCCCCGGAUUGCGUCCCGUAUUAGCACCAACGGCGGUGCUUGGAAGUUGAUCCGCAACUCGGUCGAAACAGGGCCGUGGCUGGCGAUUUAAAGUACCAAGGCGAUCUUUAUUACGCGUGAACGACGAAAGUACACGAUGACGAUGCGGACCACGGCUGGCUCGGUGCCAGCGAGAGAUCUCGCAGGGCUCAGCCUCUUCAUCCUCUUCCUCAUCGUCGGUAUUCAUCGCCCCCGUACUCCCCUCCCAGCCCCGAUUUCUCCAUUCUUUCGUCGCCCAUUCUUCCGCGAGUCGAUAUCGAGAUGUCGCGCGACUACACGCCGACCCACCGUCUUCUUUCGACAGAAUUUUGGCAAUUUUUAUCAACGUCCAACAUCCCUUUUUAAAAUGGCGAUCCGGGCAAACGUCGACGGUGAAUUCGAUUCGUGAAUUCACUGCUAAUACCUCGCGAAUUUGUGUUGAUUUUAAUAUAGGAGACUCUAUGAUGAGUGAUGAUCAGUAUAGUGUGGUACAAACGAUAAAAUAAUUCCCAGUGAGUAGUACGUCUAAGUAUUAAACGUCACGAUUCGUAAAAAGUCGACCGAAUCGCAUAAUUUUGGUACUCGACUCGGACAUUAGAGCUCGUGUUUACAUAUUGUGCGUGGGUGGAGCAAUUUCAUUAGACUUAUUUGAGUUAUGACUGAUUGGGUGACCUUUUGGUUCGCCUUUUCUGGGGGCGUUUACCGGGACGCUGUACGGAAAUGGCGGAAGGGUUAUUAAACUUUCAAAGCCUGCGCCUUCUUGAGUCUCCGGGUUCAGAAACCACAGUCAGUCGAUUCGAUUUAUAAAGUUUCGACCUCACAUUUGAUCCUCUUCGGAGUAUAAAACUAAACAAACGUGGUCAUUGUAGCCUUUUCUAACAUUGACGUUUGACUUAUUUCUAUUCAUCAUAAUUUUUAGAUAUCCCUGAUCAUUUGUGCAGAGUUUCGUUGAGAUCAAUGUUCUACAGUCGGUACUGUUUCUUUGUUAGUAGAUGUAAAGACGUUACUCGAGAAUGAACGAAGUUUAAGAAACAUUCCGACGUAGGAACGGUUAAAACGGAAGAGGCACGAACCAUCAAGGAUUCAAAGCGUACCCCGGAUCGAAUCGGGCUACAUGGAAUUGGCGGUGAUUUAAAUUGGCUGCCCUCUCGACCCGCUGUUUAACCUAUUUACCACCGCGCCUCUGAAUACGCUCUCUUCCUCCUUUUUUCCUCUCCUCUUUGCUCCGUUCGUCAGCCGUUCCCCGAACUUCGUUGCCUGUCAGUCGCAUUUAUCCUCUUUGUGGAGCGAUCCCAGCUUUUUAAGCUCCGGGACACGGGAAACGAUCGGUAGCCUCUGCCAUUUUCCUCCGAAAAGCGUUCGAACAGACUUUUACGCGAUGACGAACGAACUUCCUGGCUUUUCUUGCUCGCAAAUACUCGAAACUAGUAUAUCUUCCUGUCGACCACGUAUUCCUAAAGUUUUGAAAACGAUUUCUGCGCUUCAAAUUGUAAUAAAAUUUCUGAUUAUUGAAUUUUCUUUCGAACUGCUUUCUGAGCAAAAAUUACGAAAGAUAUACUAAACGUUACGUGGUUUCGGUUUGUUAAUUGCGAAUAAAAAUGGGUCGACUCGCGUCGAAUUAUUACAAAUGGGCGUGACGAAUAAAAGCUUUCAGGUAUCGUCGCUUUAAGUAGAAAAUGAAAUUUCGGUUCGCCGAAAAACGAGACGCGGGGAACGAAAAAUGGCCGCAUGCGAUAGUCGGCGCGCCGGGAAUUGUUAAUUAUAGUGAUCCGUGUAGUUGCGAUUAUUUAUUAUGCGUCGGUAAUCUCUGUAAUUACUGUCGUUAAAACUGUCAUUAAAGCCGA